rnacentral:rRNA from 1 species
UACGGGGGGAGCAAGCGUUGUUCGGAUUUACUGGGCGUAAAGGGCGCGUAGGCGGCCACCGCAAGUCAGUUGUGAAAUCUCUGGGCUUAACCCAGAAAGGUCAACUGAUACUGCGGGGCUAGAGUGCAGAAGGGGCAACUGGAAUUCUCGGUGUAGCGGUGAAAUGCGUAGAUAUCGAGAGGAACACCUGCGGCGAAGGCGGGUUGCUGGGCUGACACUGACGCUGAGGCGCGAAAGCCAGGGGAGCAAACGGG